UCCUGAGCUCCAGUGAUCCUCUUGCCUUGGCCUCCAAAAGUGCUGGCAUUACAGGCAUGAGCCUGUUACAGGCCAAAAGAAUGAGGGUCGUUGCCAACUCAGUAUACCACUGGAUUCUAUAUGAGCAAACAGAAAACUCUUCUCAUGAAAGCAGGAUGUUGGAAAACUAACAACUGCAUCUGCCACCAGAAGGGGUGCUGAGGGCAGUCACGCCCCAAGCGUAGUGUUCCUUGUGAUUAUCUACAGGAACAUCUGAAGCCUAUUGUACAAAGAAAGCAAUUAUGUGUACCUGUGAUAAAUCAAGCAUUUGACCAACCAUUACCUCUCCCUCCCUGCUCUUUCUACCUAAUAAAUACAAAGGGCUGUAGAAGCUCAGAGCCCUUGCUCACUAGAAGCAGGCAGCCCCCUGACCCCUUCUUCCAAAAAUACUCUUUUUGUCUUUGUCUUCAUUUCUGCAUUCGUCCCCCUUUGUUCACUCCCAUAACAACCGACAGCGACAAGUCACCCGGGACAGGGACGUGAGUGAAGGUCUGCUAGAGCAGAGAAAGUGAAACUGACAAGAACAACGAGAACGAGAAACACUGGGAAGAGUCUGCCGGCAGCUGAUAUAAGUCUGCAAAAUCAGCUGGACCACGAAACGGCAAUUGAGAGCUGCACAACCUGCAAUUACCUUUAUUCAAAUAAUGAAAAAACAAAAAGGGGGAGAUGUUACAGGCCAAAAGAAUGAAGGUCGUGACCAACUCAGUAUACCACUGGAGGCCAUAUGAGCAAACAGAAAACUGUUCUCAUGAAAGCAGGAUGUUGGAAAACUAACAACUGUGUCUGCCACCAGAAGGGGUGCUGAGGGCAGUCAUGCCCCAAGUGCAGUGUUCCUUGUGAUUAUCUAUAGGAACAUCUGAAGUUUGUUGUACAAAGAAAGCAAUUAUGUGUACCUGUGAUAAAUCAAGCAGCUAACCAACCAUUACCUCUCCCUCCCUGCUCCUUCUACCUAAUACGAAUGGCUGUAGAAGCUCAGGGCCCUUCCUCACUAGAAGCAAGGAACGCCCUGACCCCUUCUUCCAAAAAUA